rnacentral:tRNA from 1 species
GGUGGGUUAGCUCAGUGGUUAGAGCGUUAGAGCUGAGAACCGGAAGGUCUUGGGUUCGAAUCUCGUAAGAUGCG